GUAGGGUAGCGCUUGGUAGCGGGUAUCUUUCCCUUAAACGGGAAGAAGCUCAGGAAAGUCCGCCCACAGUAAACGGCCACACGUGAAAGCGUGCUCGCUAAUAACGAGGGCAACAGCACAGAAACGUACCUGGCAUAGAGUGGAAUGAUAGGAUAAUAAGGAGGUGACUCCUGAAUGAAUCCUUGACGUCUCUUUGUUGUAGGAUGAAACGGCUAGUCCUGGCUUGUGCAACUCUUUAAGAGGCUUAGUCAAAUGCCAAGAAAGUCGAUUCCUUUUAUAAGGAGGACUUACAGAAGGCGGCUUAUAGCUACCCUAC
rnacentral:RNase_P_RNA from 1 species